rnacentral:lncRNA from 10 species
GACACAAAGCUCUGGCACCGCCAUUUCACGGGGGUGGGACCCGGGCGCUCCCGAGGACCCGUACACGGCCACAGGCAAGCGGCAAGAGAGGACCCAGAACACCACUUUCUCCUGGUUGAUUUGCGAGCCCAGGUCGGGUUUAAUCUUUGGCGCGGCAAAGUGGACCGAAGGUUUCCCAGACUGGGCGUCUGUCGCCCCCAACAGCAUCGCCGCCCCCGUAGCCCAGCUGCGUGCCCUACCUCCCGCCCUGCGCCAAGACUCUCCUCCCCGCCUCUCACCUGCGGCUGCGGACAACACCCAUGGCGCCACGGCGACGAGCACUAGGGUCGUCGCGCCCAGGAGGACGACCAUCAUCUGGGAGCCGCCGCAGAUCCCACCAGUUACAUGUUCGCGCACGCGCAGCUCCUCUCAGCCGCCAUCGCCCCGUCCUAAGUCACACCGCCCCUCUGCACACGCGCUGCCCCUCUUAGCUCUCACCGCCCCUCUACGCACGCGCCGCCUCUUCUGACACACACACCGCCCCUCCGCGCACGCGCCGUUCCUCCACGCACGCGCCUUUCCUCCUAGCUAGCACCCCUUCUCCAAGCUCCCAUUGCCCCAUCCUAAUUGCAGCACCCCUGUGCGCGCGCGCCUUAGAAAUCGCAGGCCUCCUGCAUUCUCUUCUUCCUCACUCUUUCCGGCCUAUGGCCGGUCUGGAGCACUUCACCAUCGCAUUCCAGGACGACUCCCCCUCACAGGAGGCCUUGACCUUCACAGGAUCGCGGCACACACCUGCGCAGACCCAGCGACUUUGGAGUUCCCGCGUCUCUUCCCCAUGUCUGCAGUCGGAGGGCGCGGGUGGGCUCCUGGUCGCGGCCCGGCGCUCUUCGUCCUCGCCCUUCUCCGCCCGGGGCGCUUGCUGACCCUAGAGUCUUGGACAGUGGCGUUGGGAGUCCCCAGCGGCCUGGGAACCAGAUGAGGCUGGAAGGAGGAAGUGGCUGAGCGACCAGACCGUUGCUGUGUGCAGAGCGAGAGCGGGGCAGAGGCGGUCGAGCGCUCGUUUUCCGGGCGACUUGGCUGAGGGGCGAGAUGGUCCCUUGGAGAGAACAGCCACGGGCCCUGGGCCGAGGGGCUCCAAACAGCAGUCGCUAGGCUGUUUUGGUCGUCGGGCUUUAUCAGUAAACAAUUCGAGCCCAUGGUUCGAAUGAUUAUUUAAUUAAAUUCCUCAGUAAUAGAUCCAGUGCAUUGUGAAAAUAUGCGAAAUAAAAUUUAAAUGAUGAGAUAAAAUAAGGAAUCAAAUACUUCGUUGUUAUAACAACCAAGCAAUUAAUUAGCAAUUACAUAAUUAAAUGAAUGUUUGUAAAGAACAAUGCAAUGGAAUAUAUAUGUAUUCCAUCUAUAUAUUCCAUCUCUAUAUUCCAUCUAUAUAUUCCAUCUCUAUAUCCCAUCACUAUAUUCCAUCUCUAUAUCCCAUCUCUAUAUUCCAUCUCUAUAUCCCAUCUCUAUAUUCCAUCUCUAUAUCCCAUCUCUAUAUCCCAUCUCUAUAUUCCAUCUCUAUAUUCCAUAUCUAUUCCAUCUCUAUAUUCCAUAUCUAUUCCAUCUCUAUAUUCCAUAUCUAUUCCAUCUCUAUAUCCCAUCUCUAUAUUCCAUCACUAUAUCCCAUCUCUAUAUCCCAUCUCUAUAUCCCAUCUCUAUAUCCCAUCUCUAUAUCCCAUCUCUAUAUCCCAUCUCUAUAUUCCAUCUCUAUAUUCCAUCUCUAUUCCAUCUCUAUAUUCCAUAUCUAUUCCAUCUCUAUAUUCCAUAUCUAUUCCAUCUCUAUAUUCCAUCUCUAUAUUCCAUCUCUAUAUGCCAUCUCUAUAUGCCAUAUAUAUUCCAUCUCUAUAUGCCAUAUAUAUUCCAUCUCUAUAUGCCAUAUAUAUUCCAUCUCUAUAUUCCAUCUCUAUAUGCCAUCUCUAUAUGCCA